ACAAAUCCCAGCAUGUUUACUUGCAUUUAUAGACCGUCAAUUAUUGGAGUGCGAUCGACGAACAGAGGAUUUGAAAGGCAGUCUUUUCGCACUUGAACCAGGUAAGCUUUGCCACUUAAAUUAAGUGGACAUGCUUUUUUCAUUGUAAAAAACUAUGGUUCUGCAAAGAAUAUUUGUCAAGAUCAACAAGCAGGGAAACGUUAUAAUUUAUAUGCUGCUACAUCUGUCAUUUAACAGUUGUGUAUUGCAAAUCGGAUACACACCAUGGAUGAUUGGAUGGUUUACAGAGGAAGGCCAUGGGAAACGGUGAAGCACAAAACACAUCAACUUUUCUAUUCCGGUCGUUCAGGGGAGAAUCAAUCUUCACUGCGCAGAUGGUAUCAGAACGAAGACCAUUUUUCUGCCAUACCUGGCUUUCUCUCUAGCUAAUUGAAAUUUACAGACACAUCCCAUGAAUCAAAGCACGAGGAAGAGCUUAUCAAUUCAAAGUCCUACCAGUGAUUAUAUACUUG
rnacentral:lncRNA from 1 species